GACGAACGCUGGCGGCGUGCUUAACACAUGCAAGUCGAACGGAAAGGCCCUGCUUUUGUGGGGUGCUCGAGUGGCGAACGGGUGAGUAACACGUGAGUAACCUGCCCUUGACUUUGGGAUAACUUCAGGAAACUGGGGCUAAUACCGGAUAGGAGCUCCUGCUGCAUGGUGGGGGUUGGAAAGUUUCGGCGGUUGGGGAUGGACUCGCGGCUUAUCAGCUUGUUGGUGGGGUAGUGGCUUACCAAGGCAUUGAUGGGUAGCCGGCCUGAGAGGGUGACCGGCCACAUUGGGACUGAGAUACGGCCCAGACUCCUACGGGAGGCAGCAGGGGGGAAUAUUGCACAAUGGGCGGAAGCCUGAUGCAGCAACGCCGCGGGCGGGAUGACGGCCUGCGGGUUGUAAACCGCUUUCGCCUGUGACGAAGCGUGAGUGACGGUAAUGGGUAAAGAAGCACCGGCUAACUACGUG
rnacentral:rRNA from 1 species